UCUCAGUGAUGAUCCUGUUGAACUGAGCAUGUGUUGUUGGUCCUUCAUUUGCACAGUUGAUGUAACACAAUCGUUUUCAAGACGGGGCUGAGAGAAGC
rnacentral:snoRNA from 1 species